CGUCAAAUCAUCAUGCCCCUUAUGUCUUGGGCUACACACGUGCUACAAUGGACGGAACAAAGUGAGGCGAGCCCGCGAGGGGGAGCAAAGCACAGAAAACCGUUCUCAGUUCGGAUUGCAGGCUGCAACCCGCCUGCAUGAAGCUGGAAUCGCUAGUAAUCGCAAAUCAGCAUGUUGCGGUGAAUACGUUCCCGGGUCUU
rnacentral:rRNA from 1 species